GAUGUAUUGAAUACCACCUCACCAACUUGGGUUCCCGUGGCACCAAAUGACUUGGCCCUCCAAAUUGACCCAUCUUCAAGUACAAGUCUAGCAUCGGAAGUUUUCCAAGGCCUCUCUGCCAAACCUAAGGCUCAGCAACAAAGUUCCAUCAGGUCGAUCUUAAUUAAGUCCAAUUUUUGUCCUUUUUGGGUGGAAAAUCAACAGAAAUAAGUAAAUUCAAAAAAAAAAAAAAAAAGCUAAGCAUUAGAAAAUACACAUAUUUAUAUUUUUAAAAAAUAAGUUACUAAUGAACAAUGUUCUGCAAAACA